rnacentral:tRNA from 1 species
AGCGAGAUAGAGAAGUUGGUUGUCUCGCCAGGCUCAUAAUCUGGAGAUCGUAGGUUCAAGUCCUACUCUCGCUC